CGCGUGGGAAUCAACACAGUAGCGGGGGAUAGCCCGGGGAAACUCGGAUUAAUACCGCAUACGCCCUCAGGGGGAAAGGUGGCCUCUACUUGUAAGCUACCACUAUUGGAUGAGCCCGCGUUGGAUUAGCUUGUUGGUGAGGUAAUGGCUCACCAAGGCGACAAUCCAUAGCUGGUCUGAGAGGACGAACAGCCACACUGGGACUGAGACACGGCCCAGACUCCUACGGGAGGCAGCAGUGGGGAAUAUUGGACAAUGGGGGAAACCCUGAUCCAGCCAUGCCGCGUGUGUGAAGAAGGCCUUCGGGUUGUAAAGCACUUUAAGUGGGGAGGAAAAGCUAACUGCGAAUAGUUGUUAGCCAUGACGUUACCCACAGAAUAAGCACCGGCUAACUCCGUGCCAGCAGCCGCGGUAAUACGGAGGGUGCAAGCGUUAAUCGGAAUUACUGGGCGUAAAGAGCACGUAGGCGGUUUGAUAAGCGGGAUGUGAAAUACCUAGGCUUAACCUAGGAAUUGCGUUUCGAACUGUCAAGCUAGAGUAUGGUGGAGGGUGGUAGAAUUUCCGGUGUAGCGGUGAAAUGCGUAGAGAUCGGAAGGAAUACCAGUGGCGAAGGCGGCCACCUGGACCAAUACUGACGCUGAGGUGCGAAAGCGUGGGGAUCAAACAGGAUUAGAUACCCUGGUAGUCCACGCCGUAAACGAUGAGAACUAGCCGCUAGAUUUUCGGAUUUAGUGGCGCAGCUAACGCAAUAAGUUCUCCGCCUGGGGAGUACGGUCGCAAGAUUAAAACUCAAAUGAAUUGACGGGGGCCCGCACAAGCGGUGGAGCAUGUGGUUUAAUUCGAUGCAACGCGAAGAACCUUACCUACCCUUGACAUCCUAAGAAUUCUGCAGAGAUGCGGAAGUGCCUUCGGGAACUUAGAGACAGGUGCUGCAUGGCUGUCGUCAGCUCGUGUUGUGAAAUGUUGGGUUAAGUCCCGUAACGAGCGCAACCCUUAUCCUUAGUUGCCAGCGAGUAAUGUCGGGAACUCUAAGGAGACUGCCCGUGACAAACCGGAGGAAGGUGGGGACGACGUCAAGUCAUCAUGGCCCUCACGGGUAGGGCUACACACGUGCUACAAUGGUCAGUACAAAGGGCAGCAAGACCGCGAGGUGGAGCAAAUCCCAUAAAGCUGAUCGUAGUCCGGAUUGCAGUCUGAAACUCGACUGCAUGAAGUCGGAAUCGCUAGUAAUCGCGAAUCAGAAUGUCGCGGUGAAUACGUUCCCGGGCCUUGUACACACCGCCCGUCACACCAUGGGAGUUUGUUGCACCAGAAGUAGCUAGCCUAACCGAAAGGGGGGCGGUUACCACGGUGUGGCAGAUGACUGGGGUGAAGUCGUAACAAGGUA
rnacentral:rRNA from 1 species